GCCACCUUAGCUCAGCUGGCAGAGCAGCCGCCUUGUAAGCGGCAGGUCAUCGGUUCGAAUCCGAUAGGUGGCU
rnacentral:tRNA from 1 species